UACAGGCUUAACACAUGCAAGUCGAGGGGCAGCAUGGUCUUAGCUUGCUAAGGCCGAUGGCGACCGGCGCACGGGUGAGUAACACGUAUCCAACCUGCCGUCUACUCUUGGACAGCCUUCUGAAAGGAAGAUUAAUACAAGAUGGCAUCAUGAGUCCACAUGUUCACAUGAUUAAAGGUAUUCCGGUAGACGAUGGGGAUGCGUUCCAUUAGAUAGUAGGCGGGGUAACGGCCCACCUAGUCUUCGAUGGAUAGGGGUUCUGAGAGGAAGGUCCCCCACAUUGGAACUGAGACACGGUCCAAACUCCUACGGGAGGCAGCAGUGAGGAAUAUUGGUCAAUGGGCGAGAGCCUGAACCAGCCAAGUAGCGUGAAGGAUGACUGCCCUAUGGGUUGUAAACUUCUUUUAUAAAGGAAUAAAGUCGGGUAUGGAUACCCGUUUGCAUGUACUUUAUGAAUAAGGAUCGGCUAACUCCGUGCCAGCAGCCGCGGUAAUACGGAGGAUCCGAGCGUUAUCCGGAUUUAUUGGGUUUAAAGGGAGCGUAGAUGGAUGUUUAAGUCAGUUGUGAAAGUUUGCGGCUCAACCGUAAAAUUGCAGUUGAUACUGGAUAUCUUGAGUGCAGUUGAGGCAGGCGGAAUUCGUGGUGUAGCGGUGAAAUGCUUAGAUAUCACGAAGAACUCCGAUUGCGAAGGCAGCCUGCUAAGCUGCAACUGACAUUGAGGCUCGAAAGUGUGGGUAUCAAACAGGAUUAGAUACCCUGGUAGUCCACACGGUAAACGAUGAAUACUCGCUGUUUGCGAUAUACAGCAAGCGGCCAAGCGAAAGCGUUAAGUAUUCCACCUGGGGAGUACGCCGGCAACGGUGAAACUCAAAGGAAUUGACGGGGGCCCGCACAAGCGGAGGAACAUGUGGUUUAAUUCGAUGAUACGCGAGGAACCUUACCCGGGCUUAAAUUGCAGAUGAAUUACGGUGAAAGCCGUAAGCCGCAAGGCAUCUGUGAAGGUGCUGCAUGGUUGUCGUCAGCUCGUGCCGUGAGGUGUCGGCUUAAGUGCCAUAACGAGCGCAACCCUUGUUGUCAGUUACUAACAGGUCUCGCUGAGGACUCUGACAAGACUGCCAUCGUAAGAUGUGAGGAAGGUGGGGAUGACGUCAAAUCAGCACGGCCCUUACGUCCGGGGCUACACACGUGUUACAAUGGGGGGUACAGAGGGCCGCUACCACGCGAGUGGAUGCCAAUCCCAAAAACCUCUCUCAGUUCGGACUGGAGUCUGCAACCCGACUCCACGAAGCUGGAUUCGCUAGUAAUCGCGCAUCAGCCACGGCGCGGUGAAUACGUUCCCGGGCCUUGUACACACCGCCCGUCAAGCCAUGGGAGCCGGGGGUACCUGAAGUGCGUAACCGCGGGGAGCGCCCUAGGGUAAAACUGGUGACUGGGGCUAAGUCAUA
rnacentral:rRNA from 1 species